UGGCAAAGUCGUCUAACUUUAAUGAUGUUCACAUUUGCCUAGAUGGUUGGCGAUAGAAAUAAGCAAUUCUUCGUGCGUAUUCAAAUCUCUUUAUUUUGAAUAAGGCGUCGAACAAGUUGAUGUGUU